rnacentral:rRNA from 1 species
UACGGAGGGUGCAAGCGUUAUCCGGAUUCACUGGGCUUAAAGGGCGCGUAGGCGGGCAGGUAAGUCCGUGGUGAAAUCUCUGAGCUUAACUCAGAAACUGCCAUGGAUACUAUUUGUCUUGAAUAUUGUGGAGGUAAGCGGAAUAUGUCAUGUAGCGGUGAAAUGCUUAGAUAUGACAUAGAACACCAAUUGCGAAGGCAGCUUACUACACAGUUAUUGACGCUGAGGCACGAAAGCGUGGGGAUCAAACAGG